rnacentral:rRNA from 1 species
GCUUGUCUCAAAGAUUAAGCCAUGCAUGUCCAAGUAUAAACCUUUAUACGGUGAAACUGCGAAUGGCUCAUUAUAUCAGUUAUAAUUUAUUUGAUGAUCACUUUACUACUUGGAUAACCGUGGUAAUUCUAGAGCUAAUACAUGCGCAAAUUCCCGACUGCCGCAAGGCGGAAAGGAUGUAUUUAUUAGAUCCAACCAGCCCGGUUCGCCGGAGUCCCUGGUGAGUCAUAAUAACUGAGCGAAUCGCAUGGCCUUGCGCCGGCGAUGGUUCAUUCAAGUUUCUGCCCUAUCAGCUUUCGAUGGUAGGGUAUUGGCCUACCAUGGCGUUAACGGGUAACGGAGAAUUAGGGUUCGAUUCCGGAGAGGGAGCCUGAGAAACGGCUACCACAUCCAAGGAAGGCAGCAGG